UUGAAGAAAGGCUAUCCAGAACUACUUUAUUAAGGAUUUGGCCUUAUCGACUGGAGAAGAUCUCUUGGCUGGAUAUGACAUAACAGAUUCCUUUAUUCAAAUCAAGAAUGAUUAAAGAUCCGAUGAUUGGCGAAGUAUUCUUGGAAGGUUCUACUUAUGGAAACCAAGAUCCUGAUUGUAUGGGCGAGCAGGAUUGAUGGGCUAUCGACAUGUUCC
rnacentral:lncRNA from 1 species